GACUAACGCUGGCGGCGUGCUUAACACAUGCAAGUCUAACGAGAAAGCGGUAGCAAUAUCGUGAGUAAAGUGGCGAACGGGUGAGUAACACGUAACCAAUCUGCCUUGAAGAGGAGGAAAACUGAGGGAAACUUUAGCUAAUCCUCCAUAAUGUGGUGCCUAUCGCAUGAGAACAUCAUUAAAGAUUUACUCGCUUCGGGAAGAGGUUGCGUCUGAUUAGCUAGUUGGCGGGGUAAAGGCCCACCAAGGCGACGAUCAGUAGCUGGUCUGAGAGGAUGAUCAGCCACACUGGGACUGAGAUACGGCCCAGACUCCUACGGGAGGCAGCAGUGAGGAAUAUUGCGCAAUGGGCGAAAGCCUGACGCAGCAACGCCGCGUGUAGGAUGAAGUAUUUCGGUAUGUAAACUUCGAAAGAAUAGGAAGAAUUAAUGACGGUACUAUUUAUAAGGUCCGGCUAACUACGUGCCAGCAGCCGCGGUAAGUGCGAC
rnacentral:rRNA from 1 species